rnacentral:lncRNA from 1 species
AAAGAAUCACUUUUUCUAAGUAUGUCGGAGUGAUUGAGCAGAGAGAAAAAUGAAUACCCUAAGCGAACUAGAAAUCUGGAAAGAACCGAAAUAGAGGCAGUGUCUCAUGACACUUUACUUGAGGACUCACCUGAUGAACUGCUGAUCAACUCUAUAGAUUCCUUCACCUAACCAGAACUGACUUCAUCAGAGAGUUAUGAUGGUUAACUCUAUCAGUCUUCUACCUGAAUGCCCCAAGAUAUUGAUGAAGUCAACAAAAACAUUGAGCCUCAGAACACAAGAAAUCUUGGACAAACUGGGAGACAGCUUGUCAGUAUCUAAGGUCUCUGUCUUGUCCUGGAGAUGUCCCCCAUCUCCUCAUCCCCAUCAGCUGAGGAUUUCCAUUUGUUUACAUGGCCCUCCAGGAUCUCUCCUGCACUUCCCCAGACUUGAUCCUGAAGCCUCCAUUUCCCUCCCUAUAGUUCCUCUGCACACCCACCUCCCAUCUCUGGUAGACCCACAACUCCUCCAAACUUCAAAAAAGUGCUGACCUUCCAGGGACAUCAACCAAACAUGGCAUAACAGGGAAUGCAUCUGGAAAAGAGACUACCAGCAGAAGAGCAUAAAGGGGCGUGGAAGCCUAAACUGAACGAAGACCAAAGUGUGGACACUUUGCCCCUUCUUAGAAUUUGAAACAAUCACCCAUGGAAGGAGU